GGGUUGUGAGGUUAAGCGACUAAGCGUACACGGUGGAUGCCCUGGCAGUCAGAGGCGAUGAAGGACGUGCUAAUCUGCGAUAAGCGUCGGUAAGGUGAUAUGAACCGUUAUAACCGGCGAUUUCCGAAUGGGGAAACCCAGUGUGAUUCGUCACACUAUCAUUAACUGAAUCCAUAGGUUAAUGAGGCGAACCGGGGGAACUGAAACAUCUAAGUACCCCGAGGAAAAGAAAUCAACCGAGAUUCCCCCAGUAGCGGCGAGCGAACGGGGAGGAGCCCAGAGCCUGAAUCAGUGUGUGUGUUAGUGGAAGCGUCUGGAAAGGCGCGCGAUACAGGGUGACAGCCCCGUACACAAAAAUGCACAUACUGUGAGCUCGAUGAGUAGGGCGGGACACGUGGUAUCCUGUCUGAAUAUGGGGGGACCAUCCUCCAAGGCUAAAUACUCCUGACUGACCGAUAGUGAACCAGUACCGUGAGGGAAAGGCGAAAAGAACCCCGGCGAGGGGAGUGAAAAAGAACCUGAAACCGUGUACGUACAAGCAGUGGGAGCCUCUUUAUGGGGUGACUGCGUACCUUUUGUAUAAUGGGUCAGCGACUUAUAUUCUGUAGCAAGGUUAACCGAAUAGGGGAGCCGAAGGGAAACCGAGUCUUAACUGGGCGUUAAGUUGCAGGGUAUAGACCCGAAACCCGGUGAUCUAGCCAUGGGCAGGUUGAAGGUUGGGUAACACUAACUGGAGGACCGAACCGACUAAUGUUGAAAAAUUAGCGGAUGACUUGUGGCUGGGGGUGAAAGGCCAAUCAAACCGGGAGAUAGCUGGUUCUCCCCGAAAGCUAUUUAGGUAGCGCCUCGUGAAUUCAUCUCCGGGGGUAGAGCACUGUUUCGGCAAGGGGGUCAUCCCGACUUACCAACCCGAUGCAAACUGCGAAUACCGGAGAAUGUUAUCACGGGAGACACACGGCGGGUGCUAACGUCCGUCGUGAAGAGGGAAACAACCCAGACCGCCAGCUAAGGUCCCAAAGUCAUGGUUAAGUGGGAAACGAUGUGGGAAGGCCCAGACAGCCAGGAUGUUGGCUUAGAAGCAGCCAUCAUUUAAAGAAAGCGUAAUAGCUCACUGGUCGAGUCGGCCUGCGCGGAAGAUGUAACGGGGCUAAACCAUGCACCGAAGCUGCGGCAGCGACGCUUAUGCGUUGUUGGGUAGGGGAGCGUUCUGUAAGCCUGCGAAGGUGUGCUGUGAGGCAUGCUGGAGGUAUCAGAAGUGCGAAUGCUGACAUAAGUAACGAUAAAGCGGGUGAAAAGCCCGCUCGCCGGAAGACCAAGGGUUCCUGUCCAACGUUAAUCGGGGCAGGGUGAGUCGACCCCUAAGGCGAGGCCGAAAGGCGUAGUCGAUGGGAAACAGGUUAAUAUUCCUGUACUUGGUGUUACUGCGAAGGGGGGACGGAGAAGGCUAUGUUGGCCGGGCGACGGUUGUCCCGGUUUAAGCGUGUAGGCUGGUUUUCCAGGCAAAUCCGGAAAAUCAAGGCUGAGGCGUGAUGACGAGGCACUACGGUGCUGAAGCGACAAAUGCCCUGCUUCCAGGAAAAGCCUCUAAGCAUCAGGUAACAUCAAAUCGUACCCCAAACCGACACAGGUGGUCAGGUAGAGAAUACCAAGGCGCUUGAGAGAACUCGGGUGAAGGAACUAGGCAAAAUGGUGCCGUAACUUCGGGAGAAGGCACGCUGAUAUGUAGGUGAAGCGACUUGCUCGUGGAGCUGAAAUCAGUCGAAGAUACCAGCUGGCUGCAACUGUUUAUUAAAAACACAGCACUGUGCAAACACGAAAGUGGACGUAUACGGUGUGACGCCUGCCCGGUGCCGGAAGGUUAAUUGAUGGGGUUAGCGGUAACGCGAAGCUCUUGAUCGAAGCCCCGGUAAACGGCGGCCGUAACUAUAACGGUCCUAAGGUAGCGAAAUUCCUUGUCGGGUAAGUUCCGACCUGCACGAAUGGCGUAAUGAUGGCCAGGCUGUCUCCACCCGAGACUCAGUGAAAUUGAACUCGCUGUGAAGAUGCAGUGUACCCGCGGCAAGACGGAAAGACCCCGUGAACCUUUACUAUAGCUUGACACUGAACAUUGAGCCUUGAUGUGUAGGAUAGGUGGGAGGCUUUGAAGUGUGGACGCCAGUCUGCAUGGAGCCGACCUUGAAAUACCACCCUUUAAUGUUUGAUGUUCUAACGUUGGCCCCUUAUCGGGGUUGCGGACAGUGUCUGGUGGGUAGUUUGACUGGGGCGGUCUCCUCCUAAAGAGUAACGGAGGAGCACGAAGGUUGGCUAAUCCUGGUCGGACAUCAGGAGGUUAGUGCAAUGGCAUAAGCCAGCUUGACUGCGAGCGUGACGGCGCGAGCAGGUGCGAAAGCAGGUCAUAGUGAUCCGGUGGUUCUGAAUGGAAGGGCCAUCGCUCAACGGAUAAAAGGUACUCCGGGGAUAACAGGCUGAUACCGCCCAAGAGUUCAUAUCGACGGCGGUGUUUGGCACCUCGAUGUCGGCUCAUCACAUCCUGGGGCUGAAGUAGGUCCCAAGGGUAUGGCUGUUCGCCAUUUAAAGUGGUACGCGAGCUGGGUUUAGAACGUCGUGAGACAGUUCGGUCCCUAUCUGCCGUGGGCGCUGGAGAACUGAGGGGGGCUGCUCCUAGUACGAGAGGACCGGAGUGGACGCAUCACUGGUGUUCGGGUUGUCAUGCCAAUGGCACUGCCCGGUAGCUAAAUGCGGAAGAGAUAAGUGCUGAAAGCAUCUAAGCACGAAACUUGCCCCGAGAUGAGUUCUCCCUGACCCUUUAAGGGUCCUGAAGGAACGUUGAAGACGACGACGUUGAUAGGCCGGGUGUGUAAGCGCAGCGAUGCGUUGAGCUAACCGGUACUAAUGAACCGUGAGGCUUAACCUUACAACGCCGAAG
rnacentral:rRNA from 1 species